UCUAACCUCAAGGCAUGUUGACCAGGAAUUUUCUCAUCCUCUGCUCUCUGGCAGCUGUGCUAGUACAAGCUGACUUUGAUACUAAUAGCAAUCAUGCUGCCCAAGCCAUGUCCACAGAUAAGGACUCAACCUCGGAUGAAGCACCAACAGAGAUCAUGAACUCCAUCUCCUCGUACCAGUCUAACCAUGUAAGCCGCACAAGUGUAGAAGUUGGACAAGAUGCUUCUAAACCUAACGGGGUGACUGGACCUGGUGGCACGACAAACAGUGUUGAGGACCGUGAAGAGGAUGAAAGCUCUGAUGAAGGUGUGAGAAUCGUUCCUCCACCUCCUCCUCCUGCUGCUCCACAACAGAAGUCACGGAAGUUAGUUGGGCCAGCAGAUGGUAACCGAAGAAAGGCAGCAGCACCAAAACAGAAGAGGAGAUCACGGCCCUCUCGUCGUCAACCCUGAAACGCCACAAAGACACACAAAGGCAAACAUUUAAUUUGAGUGAUUACGUAGAAAAAAACCAUGUUGUAUCUUAUUACUGUGUAUGCCAUAACAUGGACGUGAACAGAACCGUACACACAUGAUAAAGCUGUUUUCUGUAUCUUGGGCUGUAAAACAAAGUCAGCAUGACAUGGCAUAUUGUUUACUUUAACACCUGUGGAACAACUCAGUGGUAGGUUCAACACAAACUUAUGGGGCCUUUCUCUGUGAAUAAAAUGUACCAUUGCAUUUACCAUUUAAUGUGAUGACAUGACAACAGGCCCAAAAACACCAGUCUGAGACCAGUUCACGCAUCCAUUGAAAUCCAGGACAAGGCAUGCUUUUAGCAGCAUCAUGACUUGACACUGACCUUGAGAGCCAAUGAAACUGCUCUAAAUUCACCAACCUGUUUCAAAAUAGAAAGGACCUUCCCUCACAUGAAAAUAAACUCAGC
ensembl:lncRNA